GACGAACGCUGGCGGCGUGCUUAACACAUGCAAGUCGAACGGAAAGGCCCUGCUUUUGUGGGGUGCUCGAGUGGCGAACGGGUGAGUAACACGUGAGUAACCUGCCCUUGACUUUGGGAUAACUUCAGGAAACUGGGGCUAAUACCGGAUAGGAGCUCCUGCUGCAUGGUGGGGGUUGGAAAGUUUCGGCGGUUGGGGAUGGACUCGCGGCUUAUCAGCUUGUUGGUGGGGUAGUGGCUUACCAAGGCUUUGACGGGUAGCCGGCCUGAGAGGGUGACCGGCCACAUUGGGACUGCGAUACGGCCCAGACGCCUACGGGAGGCAGCAGUGGGGAAUAUUGCACAAUGGGCGGAAGCCUGAUGCAGCAACGCCGCGUGCGGGAUGACGGCCUUCGGGUUGGAAACCGCUUUCGCCUGUGACGAAGCGUGAGUGACGGUAAUGGGUAAAGAAGCACCGGCUAACUACGUG
rnacentral:rRNA from 1 species